GGGACGGGGAAGGGGCCUAAGGUUCAGGAUGUUCCUUCCACCUGUCUUUACCCCACGCCAUCCCAGGCCCAGCAGGCACCGGGCAAGGGACAGGUGCUGCCUGGAAAGACACUGGGCGGUGGGGAGCCAGAAGCCAGGCGUGGUGACAGUUGGCAUCAUGAAGACCCCGAGUGUCCUGGAGUCAAGCCCGCCUUGAGCAGAAGUGGGAAGGCAUAGAAGGUGGCCUUCCAGGGCUCUGCACGCUUCCUGGCACCAGAGAUCACUCUGGUCUUGUUUAGUGAACACAGCUGACCUGUGUCAAGGAACUCUAGGGGUCCCGACCAUGCAUGCCUCAUUCAUCCCUGCACGUCAAUGGUUCAUUGAGCACCUACUAUGUGUAAGACCCA